rnacentral:rRNA from 1 species
GCAUAACGCGAAGAACCUUACCAGGUCUUGACAUCCUCUGACCAUCCUAGAGAUAGGACCUUCCCUUCGGGGGACAGAGUGACAGGUGGUGCAUGGUUGUCGUCAGCUCGUGUCGUGAGAUGUUGGGUUAAGUCCCGCAACGAGCGCAACCCUUGUCCUUAGUUGCCAGCAUUCAGUUGGGCACUCUAAGGAGACUGCCGGUGACAAACCGGAGGAAGGUGGGGAUGACGUCAAAUCAUCAUGCCCCUUAUGACCUGGGCUACACACGUGCUACAAUGGAUGGUACAAAGGGCUGCGAAGCCGCGAGGUGGAGCCAAUCCCAUAAAACCAUUCUCAGUUCGGAUUGCAGGCUGCAACUCGCCUGCAUGAAGCCGGAAUCGCUAGUAAUCGCGGAUCAGCAUGCCGCGGUGAAUACGUUCCCGGGUCUUGUACACACCG